GAUGAACGCUAGCUACAGGCUUAACACAUGCAAGUCGAGGGGCAGCAUGACGAUAGCUUGCUAUUGUUGAUGGCGAACGGCGUACGGGUGAGUAACGCGUAUCCAACCUGCCCUUGUUCACUGGAUAUGCCGUCUAACGGCUGACUAACACGUUAUGUAGUCCACAGCAGACAUCUAACGUUGACGAAAUGGUAAGGAGAUGGCUCGGGAUGAGUGUGAUUAGCUUGUUGGUGGGGUAACGGCCCACCAAGGCGACGAUCAAUAGGGGUUAGGAGAGGAAGGUCCCCCACAUUAGAACUGAGACACGGUCCAAACUCCUACGGGAGGCAGCAGUGAGGAAUAUUGGUCAAUGGGCGAGAGCCUGAACCAGCCAAGUAGCGUGCAAGAAGACGGCCCUAUGGGUUGUAAACUGCUUUUAUACAGGGAUAAAGUGAGUAACGUGUGGCUUAUUGCAGGUACCGUAUGAAUAAGGACCGGCUAAUUCCGUGCCAGCCGCCGCCGUAA
rnacentral:rRNA from 1 species